GGCGGCCUACGGGGGACAGCAGUAGGGAAUUUUCGUCAAUGGGCGCAAGCCUGAACGAGCGAUGCCGCGUGAGUGAAGAAGGCCUUCGGGUCGUAAAGCUCUGUUGCGGGGGAAAAAAGGCAGCAUCAGGAAAUGGGUGCUGACUGAUGGUGCCCCGCCAGAAAGUCACGGCUAACUACGUGCCAGCAGCCGCGGUAAUACGUAGGUGGCGAGCGUUAUCCGGAAUGAUUGGGCGUAAAGGGGACGCAGGCGGUCCUGCCAGUC
rnacentral:rRNA from 1 species